UACGUAGGGUGCAAGCGUUAAUCGGAAUUACUGGGCGUAAAGCGUGCGCAGGCGGCUUUGCAAGACAGAUGUGAAAUCCCCGGGCUUAACCUGGGAACUGCAUUUGUGACUGCAUGGCUGGAGUGCGGCAGAGGGGGAUGGAAUUCCGCGUGUAGCAGUGAAAUGCGUAGAUAUGCGGAGGAACACCGAUGGCGAAGGCAAUCCCCUGGGCCUGCACUGACGCUCAGUGCACGAAAGCGUGGGGAGCGAA
rnacentral:rRNA from 1 species